rnacentral:rRNA from 1 species
AUUGAACGCUGGCGGCAGGCCUAACACAUGCAAGUCGAGCGAGCGGCGGACGGGUGAGUAAUGUAUGGGGAUCUGCCCGAUGGAGGGGGAUAACUACUGGAAACGGUGGCUAAUACCGCAUACUAUCGGAUGAACCCAUAUGGGCUUAGCUAGUAGGGGGGGUAACGGCUCACCUAGGCGACGAUCCCUAGCUGGUCUGAGGGGAUGACCAGCCACACUGGGUCUGAGACACGGCCCAGACUCCUUCGUGAGGCAGCAGUGGGGAAUAUUGCACAAUGGGCGCAAGCCUGAUGCAGCCAUGCCGGGUGUAUGAAGAAGGCCUUAGGGUUGUAAAGUACUUUCAGCGGGGAGGCGUUACCCGCAGAAGAAGCACCGGCUAACUCCGUGCCAGCAGCCGCGGUAAUUC